rnacentral:lncRNA from 1 species
CUCUUACCUGUCUAGCAUCUGUCUGUUACCUGUCUAACCUCUAUCAAUCUACCUGUCUGUCUGUCCAGGUGUGAGCUGCAGCCUCGGGCCAGCCGUAUCCCCAUCAGGAGGGCGGAGUCAACCACAGACACGCCUACUGCUGGCCUUAACCCCGCCUCUUCUGGCAGCUGGGAGGACUCAACUACUAUGAGGGUCUGGAGACUCCUGAAACCUGGCCUCCGCAGACACCUAGGUGUGUCGGAGAAGGAGGUUCCUUCGUUGCGUGUUGUUUCCAGAGCGCUGCUGAAGAACACGGACAGGAGAUCCCUCUACACACAUUCCAGUACUGAAGACACCACAGAGCCCCAAGUAACCACCACCACACAGACUCACCACAGAUACUCACCACAGAGCCCCACCACAGAGCCCCAAGUUACCACCACCACACACAGACUCACCACAGAGCCCCAAGUAACCACCACACAGACUCACCACAGAUACUCACCACAGAGCCCCAUCACAGAGCCCCAAGUUACCACCACCACACACAGACUCACCACAGAGCCCCACCACAGAGCCCCAAGUUACCACUACCACACACAGACUCACCACAGAGCCCCAAGUAACCACCACACACAGACUCACCACAGAUACUCACCACAGAGCCCCACCACAGAGCCCCAAGUUACCACCACCACACACAGACUCACCACAGAUACUCACCACAGAGCCCCACCACAGAGCCCCAAGUAACCACCACCACACAGACUCACCACAGAGCCCCAAGUUACCACCACACACAGACUCACCACAGAUACUCACCACAGAGCCCCACCACAGAGCCCCAAGUUACCACCACCACACACAGACUCACCACAGAUACUCACCACAGACUCACCACAGAGCCCCAAGUAACCACCACACACAGACUCACCACAGAGCCCCACCACAGAGCCCCAAGUUACCACCACCACACACAGACUCACCACAGAGCCCCAAGUAACCACCACACCACAGACUCACCACAGACUCACACCACUCAGACUCACACCACUCAGACUCACACCACUCAGACUCACACCACUCAGACUCACACUCACACCACUCAGACUCACACCACUCAGACUCACACCACUGACACUCACACCACUGACACUCACACCACUGACUCACACCACUCAGACUCCCACCACUCAGACUCCCACCACUCAGACUCACACCACUCAGACUCACACCACAGACUCACACCACUCAGACUCACACCACUCAGACUCACACCACAGACUCACACCACUCAGACUCACACCACUCAGACUCACACCACAGACUCACACCACAGACUCACACCACUCAGACUCACACCACUCAGACUCACACCACAGACUCACACCACUCAGACUCACACCACAGACUCACACUCACACUACAGACUCACACCACUCACACUCACAACACUCACACUCACACCACAGACUCACACCACUGACUCACACCACUGACUCACACCACUCAGACUCACACCACUCAGACUCACACCACAGACUCACACCACAGACUCACACCACAGACUCACACCACAGACUCACACCACUCAGACUCACACUCACUCCACAGACUCACACCACUCACACUCACACCACUCACACUCACACCACAGACUCACACCACAGACUCACACCACUCAGACUCACACCACUCAGACUCACACUACAGACUCACACUACAGACUCACACUACAGACUCACACCACUCAGACUCACACCACUCAGACUCACACCACAGACUCACACCACUCAGACUCACACCACAACUAAACACACCAGAAACAUACACCACCUAGCAGUGUGUGUCCUGUCUUUGUAGGUUUGUGAGGAGAAGACCGGUUUGGAGGCAGAGGCAGUGUGUGAAACAGCACCCCUGUGUGGAGAGGCAUGAUAACUACACCUUCCCCAACCAGGACAGUGGGGACCAGUGUGCCUGACUGACACACACACUUCCCUCCGAGAGACCAGGCACCUGUUAGCACCAAAACACCUUUUAGACACAACUAUUUUAUUAAAUCUUUUUAAACUGUGUGAUUCUUAUACGUGUGUGUGUGUGUGUUGAAAUACUGCAAUGUAUAAUGUGUAAUGUAAAGCUUCUUGUGUGUUAGCUGCUGUAAAUUCCUCUGUAUCACCUGUAAACUAUAAUAAUCUGAAAAUAUCAUGUAUUUAAUGACCUGUAAACUAUAAUAUUCUGAAUAUAUCAUGUAUUUAAUGACCUGUAAACUAUAAUAAUCUGAAUAUAUCAUGUAUUUAAUGAGCUGUAAGGUAUAAUAAUCUGAAUAUAUCAUGUAUUUAAUGAUCAUAGGAAAGCCUUCCCCUCUCUCACAGCAUUCCUAUAAAGGCUCCUGUAUACAGUGAGGGGAAAAAAGUAUUUGAUCCCCUGCAGAUUUUGUACGUUUGCCCACUGACAAAGAAAUGAUCAGUCUAUAAUUUUAAUGGUAGGUUUAUUUGAACAGUAAGAGAUAGAAUAACAACAAAAAAUCCAGAAAAACGCUUGUCAAAAAUGUUAUAAAAUGAUUAGCAUUUUAAUGAGGGAAAUAAGUAUUUGACCCCCUCUCAAUCAGAAAGAUUUCUGGCUCCCAGGUGUCUUUUAUACAGGUAACGAGCUGAGAUUAGGAGCACACUCUUAAAGGGAGUGCUCCUAACCGCAGCUUGUUACCUGUAAAAAAGACACCUGUCCACAGAAGCAAUCAAUCAGAUUCCAAACUCUCCACCAUGGCCAAGACCAAAGAGCUCUCCAAGGAUGUCAGGGACAAGAUUGUAGACCUACACAAGGCUGGAAUGGGCUACAAGACCAUCGCCAAGCAGCUUGGUGAGAAGGUGACAACAUUUGGUGCGAUUAUUCGCAAAUGAAAGAAACACAAAAGAACUGUCAAUAUCCCUCAGCCUGGGGCUCCAUGCAAGAUCUCACCUCGUGGAGUUGCAAUGAUCAUGAGAACGGUGAGGAAUCAGCCCAGAACUACACGGGAGGAUCUUGUCAAUGAUCUCAAGGCAGCUGGGACCAUAGUCACCAAGAAAACAAUUGGUAACACACUACGCCGUGAAGGACUGAAAUCCUGCAGCGCCUGCAAGGUCCCCCUGCUCAAGAAUACAUAUACAUGCCCGUCUGAAGUUUGCCAAUGAACAUCUGAAUGACUCAGAGGACAACUGGUGAAAGUGU